GACAGAGGUGCCGAGCGUUAGGCGGAAUCACUGGGCUUAAAGCGUGUGUAGGCGGGCCGUUAAGUGUCUUGUGAAAUCCCGCGGCUCAACCGUGGAACUGCCUUAGAUACUGACGGCCUCGAGGGAGAUAGGGGCAUGCGGAACUGUAGGUGGAGCGGUGAAAUGCGUUGAUAUCUACAGGAACUCCGGUGGCGAAGGCGGCGUGCUGGAUCUCUUCUGACGCUGAGGCGCGAAAGCAUGGGGAGCGAACAGG
rnacentral:rRNA from 1 species